UUCCUCAGUGCCCCAGUCUAAUAUUGGCCUAUUGAUCUUCAUUACUGUAUUGUUGGUUCUCCUGAUUAUACUCUCAGUUGUCCAGAUUUGUCGAGGAAACAAAAUUGAGUGGAAGAUGUGUUGCAAAAAAAAUGCCAGGAAAGCUGAGGAGAGAAUGCCGCUACGCAAGGAAAUGGAAAAGGCACUGAAAGAGGAGUUACAGAAGAAAGAGGAGGAACAGAGAGAUAUGACACAGGUUAUUGAGACACUGACAGGACAGAAAGAGGGCCUGGAGAAACAGAAGGAGCAGCUCACCUCCCUGCAUCAGGGGGCAGAGAAACAGGCAGAGGAGACUGAUGAGAAGAUUAGAUCAGUAGGAAAAGAAGUAGAAGAGAGGGGGGGAGAUAAAACAGCUAACAAAGCUCAGGGAUAUUUAAAACUCAGAGAACUCUUACAGGAGGUUAACUGGAACCAGGAGGAGAAAAAGAAAGAACUUCAACAACUGAUAAUGAACACAGAACAACUACUGCAGAACACAAUGUAUGAUGUUGACAGAAUAACAGAGAAGAAGAACAGAGUAGAGAGCCAAGUGGAGCAAAUUAGGAAACAAAUAGAAGAGAUGGAGAAUCAGAGAGUGGACAGUGAGUCAGAAAAAGGAGGAGAAACCCAACUCAUGAUGAAUCCUGGAACACAGCAGCCUUUGUAUGAAUAUUUUAGGUGAUGUAGUCUUACAUACAGGUGACCUUUGAAUUACUCUGCUGUGAUUACAAACAACCAAAACCUGGAAAACACUGAUUCCCUUUAUUCUGUUUCUUGAAUUUAGAGCUCGACAACAUGACAUGUA